UACGUAGGUGGCAAGCGUUGUCCGGAAUUAUUGGGCGUAAAGCGCGCGCAGGCGGCUGGGUCAGUCCGAUGUGAAAGCUUCCGGCUUAACUGGGAAACAGCAUCGGAAACUGCUCGGCUUGAAGGUGGGAGAGGGUAGCGGAAUUCCCGGUGUAGUGGUGAAAUGCGUAGAUAUCGGGAGGAACACCAGUGGCGAAGGCGGCUACCUGGCCCAUUCUUGACGCUGAGGCGCGAAAGCUAGGGGAGCGAACAGG
rnacentral:misc_RNA from 1 species